UUUGCGGAAAGUAGCUUGCUACUUUGCCGGCGAGCGGCGGACGGGUGAGUAAUGUCUGGGGAUCUGCCUGAUGGAGGGGGAUAACUACUGGAAACGGUAGCUAAUACCGCAUAACCUCGCAAGAGCAAAGUGGGGGACCUUCGGGCCUCACGCCAUCGGAUGAACCCAGAUGGGAUUAGCUAGUAGGUGGGGUAAUGGCUCACCUAGGCGACGAUCCCUAGCUGGUCUGAGAGGAUGACCAGCCACACUGGAACUGAGACACGGUCCAGACUCCUACGGGAGGCAGCAGUGGGGAAUAUUGCACAAUGGGCGCAAGCCUGAUGCAGCCAUGCCGCGUGUGUGAAGAAGGCCUUCGGGUGUAAAGCACUCAUCCAAAAAAAACCAU
rnacentral:rRNA from 1 species